GGGUCGGUAGUCUAGCUUGGCUAUGAUUCUUGGUUCGGGACCAAGAGGCCGCCGGUUCGCAGGAGCUGGCUCCC
rnacentral:tRNA from 1 species